UGCUUUACAAAUGAACCUUCAUUUGUCAUUUAUCCCUGCUGUGCUGCCAUCUGUAGUGGGAAGUGGGAGUUAUGAUGUGCGCGGUCAUAUGUUCCUGAAUGUCAAAAUUCAAAUUUAAUUAAAUUAACGCAAAGCGGAUUUUCGUAUAUAAAGUUCACGUUUUGAAACCCCCCAAUCAGCAGAAAUGAAUAGUCUGUGUUAUAAAUGCGGCAAGGUGUUUUGCAAUUCCAACAUAUCAAUUAAGUUUGACACGCCAGGAAUUUUCACAGAGAUGAAACUACUGAAAUCGCUCCUAACUUGUACAAAAAUGCAGCGAAAUAUAAUUAUAACUGCCAUUGUAGAAAGAACUUUAGUGAUAAAAAUAAUUUCACGAACCAUCAGAAGAUCCACGGUGAAGAUUCAUCUUCUGGUAGUGGUAGUUACCAAUCGGUAGGUAGAAUGAAGUUCAUAACCAGUUGCAUAGUAUUUUACAUGAGGUAGAUCAACAAGCUUUAAGUAGAAAGCUGUUCAAUUUCCUAAACCAAUGUGAUGAUCCAGAUGUAACAGAUUGUAUCAAUUACUUCAAAGAAAAUUGGGCAUAUGCUUACAGACUCCAUGCUGGUAUUAAUACUGAUAUGCAUCUAGAGAGAUUUCAUAAGACUCUUAAAUAUAUGUACCUCAAAGGAAAGAAAGUUAAAAGACUAGAUAAGGGAAUAUGUGCAAUCGUGCAAUUUGUUGACAGACUUAUAUCCCGUCAUAAAUCUGCAGUAAAAGUCAAAGAAAUAAGAGUUCGUCAUGAAACUAUGACCAGCUUGGAUAAAAAUUUAUUGAUAGAAUGUGAAGAUGGAUGGAAAAUACCUUCAAAUACAUCUGAAGAAAACAUUUAUUCAAAAAACAGACAGCGAUUGCCAAAAAUGCCAACUUAAAUGUACAUUGUGUAACAUCUGCAUACAUGAAUAU